AAAUUGUUUAUCUUUCCUUCAUUCUCGAAUGACAAGUUUUUCAGUCUCUAGAUGGCAGUUUAUUUCAGUAGCUGUGGCUAUAGGAUAUUCUGAGCAUUGGGGCUGUGCUCUCAUUGUCUCUAUAAUAUAUCUAUCUGCCCCCCACCCCGUGUGUGUGUGUGUAUGUGUGUGUGUGUGUGCGUGUGUGUUUGAUGAUUGAUGUACAUGCCCAUGCUUGCAUAAAGAGAUGCCAGGGGUUGAUGUUGGGUCUCUUUCUCUGUUGUUCACUUUAUUUUAUUCAGAGAUUCUGGAGCUCAAAAUUUGCUUUGACUAGUCAGUCAUCAAGCUCCUGAUGUCUGCUUGUUUCUCACUAUAGAGAUUGGGGUGCCACUUAACCUGGCUUUGAUGUGACUACUAAGGAUCAUAACUCAAGUCUUCAUACUAGCAUAGUAAAUACUUUAGCCACUGAGCCAUCUCACAACUACUUUUUUCUUUUGUAAAUUCCAGUAAUAGUCUGGUACAUUUUUCUUAUCCACUCUCUCAGAGAUGGACACUGUUGGCUUUUCUGUUUUAGUCAUUGUGAAGAAUGAUACUUUUAAUGUAGACAAUCAAAGAUGUCUUCAAGAGCCCGUUUUAAACUAUUGUGAGUGUAUAUUCAGUAACAACAUUUCUGGACUAUAUGGUAGAAUAUUUACUUUGUAUUUAUUUUGGGUUUCUAGUAACUGUUGUUUCUUCAGUGGUAGGGGAUAUUUGAAGUCUAACAUUUGUAAAAUGCUGUUCUAGAGUCUAUUUGAGUAGAUGAAUACUUGUUUCUUAAUCUGUAAUUUAGUAAAUGUCACUACCUCUCUAAGGGUAGUAAGUCCUCACAUUCAUUACCUUGUAGCAUGUCUCGAACAUCACACCAGAAGUUAUCGCGUGAUAUAAACAGCCCUCCCAUGUGAGAGGUGCUUAUGUUAGGCUGACUCUUGGUAGGGUUGUGUUUGCCUUUAAUUUUGGUGCCAGAAGCUUUGUCUGUGCCCAGAGUUUUUAUUCCCCUGUGCAUUUUAGACUUUUGUGAAUACUCCCCCUCCAUGGGAGGUAUAGUCAUCAUUACCUGAGGGAGGUUGUGGCAGCCAAGGCUAUGGAGGCUUGCAGCUCUUGUGGUGCUCAGAAUGUCUUCUCUUCCUUUAGGCAGAAAGGGGAGUGUGGAGUUGGAGUUUAGGCUGCAUUUCUCCAGUUUCAGGGCAUUCUGUUGUAUACAGAGGACAGCCAAGGCCGUCUUUGCAAAGUUCUGUAUGUGCAUGGGGAUACUGUCAUCUACUGAAACGAAAGAAAACUGAGGGGAAAAAAGCCAAAAAGUCACUAACUAUAGGAUAUUUUUUCUGAAAGUGAGCUAGAAGAGGACAUCAGAGACCUUGGGACUGGAGUUACAGAUGGUCCCGUGUUAUCACAUGGGUGUUGAGACUCUAACUAUGGUCCUCUGGAAGAGAAGCUAUUUGAACCAUCUUUUAAGCUCCCUUUGGUGGUUUUUUUUUAAGUUAAAGUCUAAUUUCACACAUACAGAAAAAGUUUAUAUGAACACUACAAUGUAAUCCUCAGGAAAUGAAAAGACCAGAGCCUUACUCCAGGCAUGAGCUCAGAGCAGCAGCACAGGAGAGUGAGGCCAGGUCAGGAGGAUUCGAGGCCUCAGAAUCUCUAUCUGCAACUCACCUACCACCAACACAAAACUCAAAAUCCAAAGCCUGGACAUUUCCUAAUGGCUGGAGUUUUAUUAUAUACAAAUGGAGAAAGAAAUUAUGAAAAAUAUCGUAUUAACAAUAGUUCAAACAAACAAAAAGUG
rnacentral:sRNA from 1 species